ensembl:misc_RNA Metazoa_SRP Metazoan signal recognition particle RNA
GCCAGGCGUGGUGGCUCACGCCUGUAAUCCCAGCACUUUAGGAGGCUGAGUUGGGUGGAUCGCCUGAGGUCAGGAGUUCGAGACCAGCCUGGCCAACAUGGUGAAACCCCAUCUCUA